rnacentral:rRNA from 1 species
GAUCUCAAGGAGUAGAAGAGGGUGCAAAUCCUCGACUGCGUGCCUAUUGAAGAAUGAGCCAACGAGUUAAUGCAAUCAGCUCGGUUAAGGGGUAAUACCCCCGAGCCACAGCGAAAGCGAGUGUGAAUAGCGCGAACAAAAGUUGAUUGUAUUAGACCCGAAGCCAGGUGAGCUACCCAUGGACAGGCUGAAGUUUCUAGAAAUAGAGAUGGAGGGCCGAACACGUAGAUAGUGCAAAAUCUUGUGAUGAUCUGUGGGUUGGAGUGAAAAGCUUAUCGAACCUGGUAAUAGCUGGUUCUCUCCGAAAGAGCUUUCGGGCUUGCGUCGUAUGUUCCCUUUGGGGGUAGAGCACUGGAAGAAGCGGAUAGGUCGAAAGACCACUGCCUCUAUCAAACUCCGAAUACCAGAGGCCACAGUACGGCAGUUAGUCGGUGGGGGCGAAGCUCCACUCGACAAAAGGGAAACAGCCCAGACCGUCAUCUAAGGUCCCUAAAUCUACGCUCAGUGCAAACCAAGGAGGUGGAAUUUCACAGACAGUCAGGAUGUUGGCUUAGAAGCAGCCAUCAUUCAAAGAAAGCGUAACAGCUCACUGACUUAGAGAUUCUGCGCCACAAAUGAUCGGGGCUUAAGCGUAGUACCGAAGAUGCGGAUUGUUUUCAUAUUUAUAUGAAAGCAGUGGUAGGAGAGCGUUUUGAUUGCGAUGAAGGUAAAGGGGUGACCCAUACUGGAGCGAUCGGAAGUGAAAAUGUUGGCACGAGUAACCGCAAUGCGAGUGAGAUUCUCGCACGCCGAAAGAACAAGGUUUCCUUCGCAAUGGAGAUCAUCGAAGGGUUAGCCGGUCCUAAGCCGAUGGCGAAUGCCGCAGGCGAUGGAUUCACGGUCAAUAUUCCGUGGCUUGGGCGUCGUGCGAUGGAGUGACGGAGUGAGAUAUUCUGGGCGCACUAUGGAUGUGCGUUUGUAUGACGAGUAGGUUCUCUAGGCAAAUCCGGAGGACAAUACUGCGCGUCAUGCGUAGACGUGGAGGCUUCGGCCGAAACUAAUCCAGGAGAAAACGCUUCCAAGAAAAGCUUCUAAGCAUAACGACGACCAAACCGUACCGCAAACCGACACAGGUGUUCAGGGCGAGUAGCCCAAGGCGAACGAGUGAGAGAUCCUCAAGGAACUCGGCAAAAAAGCGACCGUAAGUUAGCGAUAAGGUCCGGCCUGCGCAAGCAGGCUCGCAGCUAAAGAUUCCCAACCGACUGUUUACCAAAAACACAGCUCCCUGCAAACUCGUAAGAGGAAGUAUAGGGGGUGAUGCCUGACCAAUGCCGGAAGGUCAAGUACGGGCGGUACAUGCAUUUAUGUAUGUGCUGGAUUGUAUAAGCCCCGGUCAAUGUCGGCGAUAACUAUAAUCGUCCUAAGGUAGCGAAAUUCCUUGUCUGGUAAGUUCAGACGCGCACGAAUGGUAUAACGAGUUGGGAACUGUCUCGGGGAUUUGCUCGGUGAAAAUACAAGGGCGGUGAAGAUGCCGCCUUCCUGCAGCUAGACGAAAAGACCCCAGAAGCUUUACUGUAGUUUGAUAUUGGGAAUACGAGUGCUCUGCGUAGCGUAAGGGGGAGACUUUGAAGCAGUGACUUUGGUUGCUGUGGAGUCGCCAAUGCAACACCCCUCUUUGCAACCGUAUUUUCUAACCCCGUGAGAGAAACUCAUGGGAGACAGUAUCUGAUGGGCAGUUUCGGUGGGGCGCUGUCCUCCUAAAAAGUAACGGAGGAGCCUAUUAUGGUCACCUAGCCGCGAAUGGAAACCGUGGCGAUAGUGCAUUGGCAAAAGGUGGCUUGACUGCGAGUCGUACGUGACAAGCAGGCGCGAAAGCGGAGCAAAGUGAACCGACUGUUUGCAUUAGAUGCAACAGAAGAUUAACGGAUAAAAGUUACUCUGGGGAUAACAGGCUGGUACUGCCUAAGAGUCCAAAUCGACGGCAGUGUUCGGCACCUCGAUGUCGGCUCAUCUCAUCCUGGGGCUGGAGAAGGUCCCAAGGGUAUGGCUGUUCGCCAUUUAAAGAGGUACGUGAGCUGGGUUCAAACCGUCGUGAGACAGGUUGGUCUUAAUCUGCUGCAGGCGUUGAUUCUUGAGGAGAUUCGUUUCUAGUACGAGAGGACCGGAAUGAACUGACCUCUGGUCUGGGGGCUGUCGUACCAACGGCACUGCCCCGUAGCUAUGUCGGGAAAGGAUAACCGCUGAAAGCAUCUAAGCGGGAAACCAACUCCAAGAUAAGGAAUCGUUUGAGGGCCGUGGGAGAUGACCACGUUGAUAGGCACCAGGUGGAAGCACAGUAAUGUGUUGAGCCGAGGUGUACUAAUCGGUCCAUAGACUUUUUU